AACAAACCUGUGACCGAAAAAGUAGCUGUGAUAAACGGAUGACUAGAGAGGGAGAGACGCGGCUGAAAUCUUUCCUACAGACGAAAACAGUGAACAACAUUCGAGAGGUUUUUUGUCGAAAAAGAAUUCUUUAGUAGGCAAAAACGGGGCUGGUCGUUAUCCAGAAAUGAGAGGGUCAAUUGUUUGACCAACUAGGGUGGAACCGCGGAAGCUAAUAUUAGCUCUCGUCCCUUGC
rnacentral:ncRNA from 1 species